rnacentral:rRNA from 1 species
UACGAAGGGGGCUAGCGUUGUUCGGAAUUACUGGGCGUAAAGGGCGCGUAGGCGGAUUGUUAAGUCGGAGGUGAAAUCCUGGGGCUCAACCCCAGAACUGCCUUCGAUACUGGCGAUCUUGAGUGUGGAAGAGGUUGGUGGAACUCCGAGUGUAGAGGUGAAAUUCGUAGAUAUUCGGAAGAACACCAGUGGCGAAGGCGGAUCGCUGGGCCAACACUGACGCUGAUGUGCGAAAGCUAGGGGAGCAAACGGG